GGGAGCCCUGACGUGGGGCCCUCUGCGGGCAGCAGGCGAGGGGCCCCGGGCGGGAGCUCGGGGCUCAUCGUGAGCCCCCCCCCCGCAAGUCCCACUGUCUUAGUCCCUUUCUCGUCGCUCGGACAAAAUACGCGACACCCACGACUGAGGAAAGGAGAGGUUUAUUCUGGCCCAGGUUUCGGUCCGGAGGGGCUGGCUCCCAGGCAGGACUGCAGGCCGGAUCGGAGCCGUGAGAGCGCAGGGGGAGCAGGGAGGGAGGUGACCCCCAGGGCACGCCAUGCCACCUCUGCGUGGACCCGAGCCCCAGGAAGCCUGGCCCCGGGCGCUCUCGGGCCGUCUUGAGCUGAACCCUAACCCACCCCGGAAGGCGUCCUGUUCCCAUUUCCACCCUCUACUCCUGCAAGGGCCGGCCAGCCCCACACUGGACACUGGACACUGGACACUGGAAAUGGACCAGGACGAAAGCCGCACUGGCCGCUCAGAAACCCAAACCCUGAGCCCAUCUCGCCUCCCCUGGCCAGCUCCACUGAAGCCGCAAACCGCAUGAGCCGAGAGCCCCCAGGCCUCCCUCCUCGCCUUUCCCCGGAGCCUCUCAGAGCUGCCCCCUUGGAAUUCAGAAAGCAAACUCGGUGAGGACAGGCACCUCAUCUGUCGCCAGGCCUGGCACACAGGAGAAACCCACGAGAGAGGCAGCUGCUGACGAGCCAUCCGCCGGCCCCCGCCACCGGAUGGGCUCAGCAGCCAGAGAAGAUGAUGAGAUGAGUUCUCCCCAGGGGAUCCAGGGCACCCUUGCAGAAAGGUUUGCUUUGUAAUCAGAACAGGGACAGGCCGAGUGCUUCAUCAGCACAGGGCGGUAGGUGAAGAGCCAGCAAGGGGCAGCCAUGUGUAAGCUCACAGAGAGGCCUCACAAGAGCCACCCUGCCCGUGUCUUGGCCUUGGCCUUCCGGCUUCCAAAACGGUGAGAAAAGCCUCUGUCUGUGGGAUUUUGUUAUGGUGGCCCUAGUAAACUCAUAUAGGUAUUUAAUUUUUUAUAUUUUAUUUUAAUAGAGUAAUAUAUUUACCUGAUUAAAAAUCAACCAGCUGUGGUGGUGGACACCUGGAAUGCCAGCACUUGGGAGGCUGAAACAGGAGGAUUGCUGGGAGCUUUGCUAUGUAGCCAGUUCAAGGCCAGCCUUGAACUGUUUUGUUUUAAAACAAACAAACAAACAACCUCCCCCCCAAAACCUGUAAAGUGCAAUAGUGAGCACGCGAUAAAGGUCAACACCAUCCCACGAAAGACUCCUGCUGCCAGCAUGUGGCCUUGCUGUGCUGUGCUGUGCUGUGACUACUGCGGUAGUCACCUGUGUGGUCUCCUCCAAACAGCCUCUAACCUGGCUCUGACCAGGAGAUAACAGCGUGUAAACCUCAGAUGAGGGGUAUUCUACAGCACAACUGAGCGGCACUUCUCAAAACUGUCAAAGGCAUAGGAGACAGGGAAGUCUGAGAAACUUUCGGGCCAAGAGGAGCCAAAGGAGAGACAGUGACUAAAGUGAUUGAGGCAAGAGGAUCACAAGUUCAAGG
ensembl:lncRNA